CAGCCGCCGCAGUAACACAUGCAAGUCGAACGCCCCCUUCGGGGGGAGUGGCGCACGGGUGAGUAACGCGUGGGAACCUGUCCUUUGGUUCGGAACAACCCUUGGAAACGAGGGCUAAUACCGGAUGAUCCCUUAGGGGGAAAGAUUUAUCGCCGAAGGAGGGGCCCGCGUCCGAUUAGGUAGUUGGUGGGGUAAUGGCCUACCAAGCCUGCGAUCGGUAGCUGGUCUGAGAGGACGAUCAGCCACACUGGGACUGAGACACGGCCCAGACUCCUACGGGAGGCAGCAGUGGGGAAUAUUGGACAAUGGGCGCAAGCCUGAUCCAGCCAUGCCGCGUGAGUGAUGAAGGCCUUCGGGUUGUAAAGCUCUUUUGGCGGGGACGAUGAUGACGGUACCCGCAGAAUAAGCCCCGGCUAACUUCGUGCCAGCCGCCGCCGUAAGAC
rnacentral:rRNA from 1 species